GCUCGCUCUCCUUCCGCCGCCCUGUUCCCGCCGUGCCGGCCGCAGCUGCGCCGGGAACGGGGAAAAUCCCCUCGGCUCGGGCGGCGCCGCCGGGAAGGAGCGAACGGCGGCCUCAGCCGGAACGGCGUGGUGGGAGUCUCCUGAUGGGAAUGAGUCCUGGAAACAGAACGGAGAGUCCGUGAGAAACGAGAACGCUGCAGCUGGAGCGCUGAGAACGGAGAGCUUCAUGAAGCCCUUGUCUUCUGCUGGUAGCAGCGUCUGAGCCCAGGCCUCGGGGGCUGUGUGAAGAUUCCUCCCCGGAGCGGGGUCAGCCCGUGCGGAUGAGCCGCAGAGCUUCGGUCCUUGGAGCGGGUGCUGCCCAGGAUGGACAUCUGCGGUCUCAGAGAGCGAUUCCCCAGGAGGAAGGGGAGCCUUGGCCUCGCCUGCACGGCUCAGGACGGGAAAAAUCACUGAACUCCUCCCAUCUUUGCCAAAAGCUGCGGUGCUUAAGCAGCCAAAGCCAAGAGGCUUCGGCACCGGGGGUCCGCGCUGGAGGGGCUCCUGGUCCUGCCCCCGCUGGGGGGUAAAUCAGAGGGACGCGGGGUUCCUCUUUUCCCCUCUGCUGGGAUGAACUGCCUGGGGAACGCCAUUUCUGCCAGCCCGGUCCUGCCCGUGUCUGCUGGAGGAGGCGAGAGGUCAGCAGGAAGAAGAGGAAAUGUGGUGCCAGACCUGUCUCAUCAGCUUGUGCUUCCCUCUGAGGACAGAGAGUCUCUGGGCAAGAGAGCCGGGGCUGGCACAAGGACUCGUGCAGGUACUGACCUGGCACCGGAGCCGUUGUCCUUUGGAGCCAUUUUAAAGGUAUGAUCCUAGAGCCUUUUGGAGGCUGUUUCUGGAAUUCCAUUUGUAGCUGGAUCUCGCUCCAAGUGCUUCGGUCCAGUGAGAAGAACACGAACUCCCAGCCAUUCAGGCCUGACAGUUCCCUGUAGUGAGAGCUCAGCACACAUCCACAGAAGCAACCUCCAGCAUCUGAAAGAAAAAACCAAAACCACAGAACAAAAAGCCCCAGCCAUGUCCCUGGGGGACCCUUGGCAGAGUUGCCUGGAAUUCAGCUGAUUUCACCCCCCCCGAGCUCGGGCUCCCGUUGAUAUGCUAAAGCAGGAGAAGGCGCUGGCCGGACGCGCUCCCGGCCCGUGCCGAGGCAGCCCCUGUGCCCACGGGAGAACAUCUCUGCCUGCAGAAGCUCAGCUCCUUCCAGAGCCUCAGCGGUGGCCUCUACAAAUUCUUUCUCUCAGGAAAGGGAUGCACAUCCCUGCCUUCAGCACACCUCCAGUGGGACCCACCUGGAAAAGCUUUCCAUCACUUCCGUGCCUCCAGCCGGCUCCCUGAAAAACUCCAAGCAUCAUCCAAAGAUAACUUCAUCCCGCUUGAGCCUUUGAUUUUAAGGCAUCUCCGAGGGCUAUUGCUCAGGAUUUCAUUUCUGUGAGGGAAAAUUGCCUUGGCUUUCAUGCUGCUGAUGGAUAAUGUCCUCAGGCUGGAAAGGGGGGAUUUGGGGUGGCCAGGACAUACCUGGCAGCCGCGGGGGAGCUCCGGGAGGUGGGGACCGGGAAUCGCCGUCUGAGCCCCUCUGCGGAUGGCCCGAGCCGCCCGUGCCCAGGCAGUGCCAGCUGCUCCUCGGGGCGCCUCGGGGCUCUCGGUGGCCUCCGUGCGGGGUGAAGCAUCUCCCCGUGCCCGUGCAGAGCAGCCCCUGGCCUGUGCAGAGGAGCCCACGGCUCCUCCCCUGCACACCCCAAGGACAAGAAGUGCUGGUUGCCUUUCAGGGGCUGCCGGCCUCCUCCCGCCCCACGUUCCCGGCAGCCCAAGAUGUGCAGGAAACGCCAAAGAACACUGCUGGCAGCAAGGGGAGGCACCGAGGCCUCUGUGCAGCUCUGGGCUGGAAAAGCAGCCCCAGCCUCAGCAGCCACCAUCAUAUUGGCCUGGCAACACUCACCUUCAGGAAACGCCCCUCCGCAGGUGGGACCAGCCCUGCCUCUCUCCAGAGCUUUGGCUGUGGAGCAAGGGAAGCCUCGGGACUCGUCUGGCUCAUUUCUGUCUGGAAAAGGACAUUGUGUGAGCACUUUUAUGGCUGUUGGUUAAAUCCUGGAAAGGGCAGGAAGUCAGUGUUAUUGGAAGAGCUUCCAGGGGCAGGUGUGUAAAGCAGCUUCAGCAGAAAAGAAGGCUCUGUACUUCCCUUAGUGGUGCUAAGGAUUCCCAUCCUGGGGAGAUCCACCCCCCUCACUCAGAGAUUAGCUCAGCUGGUUGGAGCAGAAUCCUAGUCGUGCCAAGGUUGUGAAUUCAAUCCUCAAGUGGUCCACUUCCCUGAGAGUCAGAUUUUAGGAUCCAUCUCAACCUCAAUGCCUCCUGUGAUCUGGAAAUAAAGAGGAAAAUUCUCAGCUGCAUUUUAAUAAAA